rnacentral:rRNA from 1 species
CAGCCGUAAACAAUGUGCGUUAGGUGUGUCGGUAACCACGCGUUACUGAUGCGCCGAAGAGAAAUCGUGAAACGCACCACCUGGGAAGUACGGUCGCAAGGCUGAAACUUAAAGGAAUUGGCGGGGGGAGCACCACAACAGGUGGAGCCUGCGGUUUAAUUGGAUUCAACGCCGGACAUCUCACCGGAUAAGACAGCUGAAUGAUUGUCAAUCUGAAGGUUUUACAUGACUAGCUGAGAGGAGGUGCAUGGCGUAGACGU